CAGCAGCCGCGGGAACACAGAGGGUGCGAGCGUUAAUCGGAUUUACUGGGCGUAAAGCGUGCGUAGGCGGCUUUUUAAGUCGGAUGUGAAAUCCCUGAGCUUAACUUAGGAAUUGCAUUCGAUACUGGGAAGCUAGAGUAUGGGAGAGGAUGGUAGAAUUCCAGGUGUAGCGGUGAAAUGCGUAGAGAUCUGGAGGAAUACCGAUGGCGAAGGCAGCCAUCUGGCCUAAUACUGACGCUGAGGUACGAAAGCAUGGGGAGCAAACAGGAUUAGAUACCCGCGUAGUCCCUGUCUCUUAUAA
rnacentral:rRNA from 1 species